rnacentral:misc_RNA from 1 species
CUGAGUUAGGGUCCUUUGGGCCCGACCUCCAACCCUUUGUCUACCUUACCACUUGUUGCUUCGGUGGGCCCGCCUCCCCAAUACAACGGGGUCGGCCGUCGGAUGGCUUUUGCCCUCUGGCCCGCGCCCACCGGUAGCCCUCAAACUAAAACUCUGAAUAAAUCGUGUUUUGUCUGAGUGAAAAAAAUUAAAAAAUAACCAA